CCCUUAGAUGUUCUGGGCCGCACGCGCGCUACACUGAUGCAUUCAACGAGUCUAAAACCUGCUCUGAUAGGGGUGGGUAAUCUUUUGAAUGUGCAUCGUGAUUGGGAUAGAUGAUUGCAAUUUUUCAUCUUCAACGAGGAAUGCCUAGUAAACGCAAGUCAUCAGCUUGCAUUGAUUACGUCCCUGCCCUUUGUACACACCGCCCGUCGCUCCUACCGAUUGAAUGAUCCGAUGAAUAUCAUGGAUUGAGGGUGCAAGUAGGUUCGCCUAUCUUCAUCUUCGAGAAGUGAAGUAAAUCUUAUCAUUUAGAGGAAGGAGAAGUCGUAACA
rnacentral:rRNA from 1 species